rnacentral:tRNA from 1 species
UCCCUGGCGGUCCAGUGGUUAAGACUUCACAUUCCCAAUGCGGUGGGCCUGGGUUCAGUCCCCGGUCAGGGAA